UCUUUCCGGAGACGCCCGACAGCCCGAGCAUGCAAGAGCAGCAGCACGAGCAGGCCGUGCUGUGCAACAUCAGCAGAGCGCUCUCAGUGCAGCGGAACUACUCGGGCGUCUCUGAUGACAGUAUAUUUGAUACUGAAGUUGAAGAUUGUAGCACGGCAUUCGUACUAGUAAUAAUUACAUAUCAAAGAUGCCAAGAAGACAACUAAUGUGCCAGGAGUUGCAGGUACUUAGCCACACCUAGCAUUGGAUGUGAGGAGGACUUGGAGUGUCAUGGAACACAUAUGGCUGUUUGCAGUAUUUUGGACCAACCAACUUCAAUUAUUUCUUGAAUUUUAUGUGUGUUCUGAACCAUUUGGUGCUUCAAGUGUUUUGGAGUAGAAACUUUGUGCUCAUGUAUGUGAUUUAUGUGUUCUGGACCAUUGUUUGAAUUAGUUCAGACUAGCAAAUAGUGGCCCUUUGACUUGUGUGUUCUGGAUGGUCAAACUAUGCUUGUGAACCUGUGUGAAUAUAUAUUUAUGUAUGUUUGUGAACCUAUCA